GUGGGGAAUUUUGGACAAUGGGCGCAAGCCUGAUCCAGCAAUGCCGCGUGCAGGAAGAAGGCCUUCGGGUUGUAAACUGCUUUUGUACGGAACGAAACGGUCCGGGUUAAUACCCUGGGCUAAUGACGGUACCGUAAGAAUAAGCACCGGCUAACUACGUGCCAGCAGCCGCGGUAAUACGUAGGGUGCAAGCGUUAAUCGGAAUUACUGGGCGUAAAGCGUGCGCAGGCGGUUUUGUAAGACAGGCGUGAAAUCCCCGGGCUCAACCUGGGAAUUGCGCUAGUGACUGCAAGGCUGGAGUGCGGCAGAGGGGGAUGGAAUUCCGCGUGUAGCAGUGAAAUGCGUAGAUAUGCGGAGGAACACCGAUGGCGAAGGCAAUCCCCUGGGCCUGCACUGACGCUCAUGCACGAAAGCGUGGGGAGCAAACAGGAUUAGAAACCCUAGUAGUCC
rnacentral:rRNA from 1 species